UUAUCAUUUAUCAAUCUUCUUCAAUGAUUUUUAGCCCAUAUAAUCAAACAAAAAUUUCUUCUUCUUUCUGCGUGUUGAAGACAAGCAAGAACAAUGCCCCAAAAAAUACACGCACAAGAUAAAGUAGGUGAAUUGCUAGAAGCUCAAUAUUUCUUUCAUUUUGUUGUGCCAUUUUUGGUUUCUGAAGAAGACGAGGAAGAAGCCUUGUAAUUGCAGAAUUCUGGCGAAGAAUUGAUUGCAGAUUGCAAUCACCAAUCAGAAUGCACUCAACGUGUUCGAUGAAAUUUCUAAAUGAGAUUUGGGAUACUGUUCCUACUUCUAAAUGAGAUUGAGGGCGUCAUUCUAGAUUCCACUACAAAAAUUUCAAAUUUGUGAAAGCAUUCCAAUAGGCCUCCCUGGUAACUUCCUGUGAACCGGUGGUGCAAUUUCUUCUUUACCAGUUUCAGCCCACAAGAUCUUUCCUCUCACGGGUUGUAUCAUGAACUGAUAGGCCUUCAAAUAUGUAGAUUCCACAUACCAAUGAGCAACGAAAUUUUCUGGCUCCAACCCUUCACUGUGCAGGACACAAACUGCAUGUUGGCAUGGGAUACCAGUCUUCUUUAACAUAAGAUAUAAUCUCUGGAUAUGAGAUCUUAUCAAUGUCCAAGGCAUCACACACUUGAGUAACUUUUCCACCAACAUAGCGACGUCUACUAUCAUCAACAAAUCUACCCCCAUGAUGUAUAGACAAUAUAAAUGUUAUUUCAGACAUUCUGCAUAAGCACAA